GACGAACGCUGGCGGCGUGCCUAAUACAUGCAAGUAGAACGCUGAAGAGAAGAGCUUGCUCUUCUUGGAUGAGUUGCGAACGGGUGAGUAACGCGUAGGUAACCUGCCUUGUAGCGGGGGAUAACUAUUGGAAACGAUAGCUAAUACCGCAUAACAAUGGAUGACCCAUGUCAUUUAUUUGAAAGGGGCAAAUGCUCCACUACAAGAUGGACCUGCGUUGUAUUAGCUAGUAGGUGAGGUAACGGCUCACCUAGGCGACGAUACAUAGCCGACCUGAGAGGGUGAUCGGCCACACUGGGACUGAGACACGGCCCAGACUCCUACGGGAGGCAGCAGUAGGGAAUCUUCGGCAAUGGGGGCAACCCUGACCGAGCAACGCCGCGUGAGUGAAGAAGGUUUUCGGAUCGUAAAGCUCUGUUGUAAGUCAAGAACGUGUGUGAGAGUGGAAAGUUCACACUGUGACGGUAGCUUACCAGAAAGGGACGGCUAACUACGUG
rnacentral:rRNA from 1 species